UACGUAGGGCGCAAGCGUUGUCCGGAAUUAUUGGGCGUAAAGAGCUCGUAGGCGGUUUGUCGCGUCUGCUGUGAAAACCUAAGGCUCAACCUUGGGCUUGCAGUGGGUACGGGCAGACUAGAGUGCGGUAGGGGUGACUGGAAUUCCUGGUGUAGCGGUGGAAUGCGCAGAUAUCAGGAGGAACACCAGUGGCGAAGGCGGCACUCGUGGGCCGGUACUGACGCUGAGGAGCGAAAGCGUGGGGAGCGAACAGG
rnacentral:rRNA from 1 species